GUGGGGAAUCUUGCACAAUGGGGGAAACCCUGAUGCAGCGACGCCGCGUGAGCGAUGAAGCCCUUCGGGGUGUAAAGCUCUUUCGACGGGAACGAUGAUGACGGUACCCGGAGAAGAAGCUGCGGCUAACUACGUGCCAGCAGCCGCGGUAAUACGUAGGCAGCAAGCGUUGUUCGGAGUUACUGGGCGUAAAGAGUAUGUAGGCGGUUCUGCAAGUUUGGUGUGAAAUCUCCCGGCUUAACUGGGAGGGUGCGCCGAAAACUGCAGGGCUAGAGUGCGGGAGAGGAGAGCGGAAUUCCUGGUGUAGCGGUGAAAUGCGUAGAUAUCAGGAGGAACACCGGCGGUGUAGACGGCUCUCUGGACCGUUACUGACGCUGAGAUACGAAAGCGUGGGGAGCAAACAGGAUUAGAAACCCUUGUAGUCC
rnacentral:rRNA from 1 species